UACGUAGGGUGCGAGCGUUAAUCGGAAUUACUGGGCGUAAAGCGUGCGCAGGCGGUUUUGUAAGCCAGAUGUGAAAUCCCCGGGCUUAACCUGGGAAUGGCAUUUGGGACUGCAAGGCUGGAGUGCGGCAGAGGAGACUGGAAUUCCUGGUGUAGCGGUGGAAUGCGCAGAUAUCAGGAGGAACACCGGUGGCGAAGGCGGGUCUCUGGGCCGUAACUGACGCUGAGGAGCGAAAGCGUGGGGAGCGAACAGG
rnacentral:rRNA from 1 species